GAUGAACGCUGGCUACAGGCUUAACACAUGCAAGUCGAGGGGAAACGACGGGGAAGCUUGCUUCCCCGGGCGUCGACCGGCGCACGGGUGAGUAACGCGUAUCCAACCUGCCUCUGACUGAGGGAUAACCCGUCGAAAGUCGGCCUAAUACCUCAUGGCAUCGUCUGCGGGCAUCCAACGACGAUUAAAGAUUUCAUCGGUCAGAGAUGGGGAUGCGUCUGAUUAGCUUGUUGGCGGGGUAACGGCCCACCAAGGCGACGAUCAGUAGGGGUUCUGAGGGGAAGGUCCCCCACAUUGGAACUGAGACACGGUCCAAACUCCUACGGGAGGCAGCAGUGAGGGAUAUUGGUGAAUGGGCGAGAGCCUGAACCAGCCAAGUAGCGUGCAGGAUGACGGCCCUAUGGGUUGUAAACUGCUUUUAUGCGAGGAUAAAGUGAGGGACGUGUCCUUCAUUGCAGGUACCGCAUGAAUAAGGACCGGCUAAUUCCGUG
rnacentral:rRNA from 1 species